UGGGGAAUCUUGGACAAUGGGCGCAAGCCUGAUCCAGCCAUGCCGCGUGGAUGAUGAAGGCCCUAGGGUUGUAAAAUCCUUUCGUGGGGGACGAUAAUGACGGUACCCCAAGAAGAAGCUCCGGCUAACUUCGUGCCAGCAGCCGCGGUAAUACGAAGGGGGCUAGCGUUGUUCGGAUUUACUGGGCGUAAAGCGCGUGUAGGCGGGCCGUUAAGUUGGAGGUGAAAUCCCGAGGCUCAACCUCGGAACUGCCUUCAAAACUGGCGGCCUGGAGGAGAAGAGAGGCAAGUGGAAUUGCGAGUGUAGAGGUGAAAUUCGUAGAUAUUCGCAGGAACACCAGUGGCGAAGGCGACUUGCUGGCUUCUUUCUGACGCUGAGACGCGAAAGCGUGGGGAGCAAACAGGAUUAGAUACCCCCGUAGUCC
rnacentral:rRNA from 1 species